rnacentral:rRNA from 1 species
GUGCCAGCCGCCGCGGUAAUACGUAGGUGGCAAGCGUUGUCCGGAUUUACUGGGCGUAAAGAGCGCGCAGGCGGCUGGUCAAGUCCGAUGUGAAAUCUCCCGGCUCAACUGGGAAACUGCAUCGGAAACUGAUCGGCUUGAAGGUGGGAGAGGGUAGUGGAAUUCCCGGUGUAGUGGUGAAAUGCGUAGAUAUCGGGAGGAACACCAGUGGCGAAGGCGACUACCUGGCCCAUUCUUGACGCUGAGGCGCGAAAGCUAGGGGAGCGAACGGGAUUAGAAACCCCCGUAGUCC